rnacentral:misc_RNA from 1 species
GAAAUGCGAUAAGUAGUGUGAAUUGCAGAAUUCAGUGAAUCAUCGAAUCUUUGAACGCACAUUGCGCCCCUUGGUAUUCCAUGGGGCAUGCCUGUUCGAGCGUCAUCUAACCCCUCAAGCCUUUUUGGGUGUUGCCCGCCUCUGCGCGGUGCCCUGCCCGGCUUGGUGUUGGGCGUCUGUCCCGCCAUGUGCGUGGACUCGCCCCAAAUUCAUUGGCAGCGGUCUUCCAGGUUCUCGCGCAGCACAUUGCGUCCCGAGCCGUACGGAGGCAAGCAUCCAGCAAGCAACCCCCCACAAUUUGACCUCGGAUCAGGUAGGGAUACCCGCUGAACUUAA